UAUACAUGAGCAAAAUCUCAACUUUAUUAGAAGAGACGCAUUUAUUAGAUAAAAAGCCAAUGCAUGCUUUUACAGUAUGAAAAUUGGUGAUUUAUAAUAACUUAGCAAAUCGCAUAGUGAAAACAGGCGAUAAAUCAUUCAAGUUUCUGACCUAUCAGCUUUCGACGGUAUGGUAUUGGCUUACCGUGGCAGUGACGGUUAACGGGGGAUUAGGGUUCGAUUCCGGAGAGGGAGCCUGAGAAACGGCUACCACAUCUAAGGAAGGCAGCAGGCGCGCAAAUUACCCAAUUCUAACAGUUUGAGAGAGGUAGUAACAAGAAAUAACAAUACAAGGCAGUUAAAAUGCUUUGUAAUUGGAAUGAUAGAAAUUUAAACCCUUUUUAAAGUAUCAAUUGGAGGGCAAGUCUGGUGCCAGCAGCCGCGGUAAUUCCAGCUCCAAUAGCGUAUAUUAAAAUUGUUGCAGUUAAAAAGCUCGUAGUUGAAGUUCUGCUAAAAGUAACCGGUCUGCUUUGAAUAAAAGUGGUAUCUUGGUAUGUAUUUAGCAAUGAUGUCCUUUGAAGUGUUUUUUACUUUAUUGUAAUAAAGCAUAUUCAGGACUUUUACUUUGAGAAAAUUAGAGUGUUUCUAGCAGGCCAACGCUUUGAAUACUGCAGCAUGGAAUAAUAAGAA
rnacentral:rRNA from 1 species